UACAGGGGGCUCGAGCGUUAGUCGGAAUCACUGGGCUUAAAGGGUGCGUAGGCGGCUUGUCAAGUGUUUUGUGAAAUCCCACGGCUCAACUGUGGAACAGCAGGGCAAACUGACAAGCUUGAGGCAGGUAGGGGCCGGAAGAACAGUUGGUGGAGCGGUGAAAUGCGUAGAUAUCAACUGGAAUGCCGAUGGGGAAGCCGUCCGGCUGGGCCUGUCCUGACGCUGAGGCACGAAAGCGUGGGGAGCAAACAGG
rnacentral:rRNA from 1 species